AGGCAGUCCACCAAUCUCAUUACUGCCAUCACUUGGGAUUAAUGACAUUCCCGCCGAGGAUUUAGGUUCAGCGUGUGUGUGAGAGGGAGGCCUUCACAAUACGUGAUGUCCAUGCCUAUCCCCACCUUGUCUCACCUUGCCACUGCAGCGCCCUUCCUUCCUUCCUCCUCCCCCAAUUCCCACUAAAUCUCUCCCAACAUUGGCUCUCCAGUGAGGAUUCCCGCUCCCUCUCUUAUUAGAUUCUACUGCUCACCGGUUGGCUGGGAAGAAAUGGCCUGAUUCUCCAAGAGGUGAACCAGAGGGAAAAGGAACAGUCAAGGGAGGGAAGGAGAGAGAGGACUGUGGAUGGAGAGGCAUAGUAAAGAGAUAGAGAUGAGGGGUAGAUGAUGAUGAUGAUGGUGAUAAGUGAAUUUAGCUGUCUAUGAACAGUUUGGGUGAAGAUUAGGUGAACAAUAAUUUCUCUAGUUCCAGUCUUUCUCUCCUUUAUGAGGACAAACCCUCUCUAAGCAUCUUCACUGCCAGUGCUGUGUCCUGUCUGUUAAUUGGUAAAGGACGACAGUGAUUAGUUUGCUAUUGGAUGGUCCUGCCCAUUGAGCCCUGCCCAGUGUGAAUGGGCCCUGCCAUAUGUGAAUGGGCCCUGCCAUAGUGUGAAUGGGCCCUGCCCAGUGUGAAUGGGCCCUGCCACAGUGUGAAUGGGCCCUGCCACAGUGUGAAUGGGCCCUGCCACAGUGUGAAUGGGCCCUGCCACAGUGUGAAUGGGCCCUGCCACAGUGUGAAUGGGCCCUGCCACAGUGUGAAUGGGCCCUGCCCAGUGUGAAUGGGACCUGCCACAGUGUGAAUGGGACCUGCCACAGUGUGGAGUCUUGCUGGGGCUGUGUGACUGUGGCUGGCUGGCUGUCCUCCCAUGUUGACAGAUUUAUUAUGGUCUGUUUGCCUCUGUUUACCCAGACAAACAUUCACUCUGACUGCAACAGAAGUAAACACAUUUCCUUGUGUGUGAGUAGCUGGCAGCUAAGGCUGAAAUGGAGCUUGGUGACAUCAUCAGAUAUCGGCUACCCAUUGACUCUGAAAAACUCUGAUUUUCCAUGUGUUGAGACACACACACACACACACACACACACACACUUUUUGCCCUGGGCACAUAGAACUGGAGACCCAGGUCCAGCAGUACAGGGUCCAUUAAGAACAGCAUGUUCUUUUGGGGAUAAUGUUGUUGGCAGCAACAGGUCUACUAUGAGACAGGUCCAGAACCAAAGGAGCACAAAGGAAGUCAUGUCUGUGCUGACCCAGAUAUGUCCUCCAGGCAGAGUGGCGGACAGGGAGGACAGGGAAAUGACAAAGGGCACGGUGAUCCGAUUAAACCUGGCCUCAACGCUCCGCUCACCGGUAAAGACCAGUUCUGUCUACAGUGUCUCGCUCUGUACAUUGACUCCCUCUGACCAAAUGUCUCUCUCUCCCUCUCCCCUUGUGAUUCAAAUGGGUUCUAAGUUGAGCAGCAGACAGAAAGAGUGGCACGAGGGAGAGGUAGAAUGGGAGAGGUAAUGGGAGAGAGAGAGGAGAAGGAGAGAAAGUAAAGCGUAGGAAAGAAAGAGGGACAUGGUCCAGUCAGCUGAAGAGCGG
rnacentral:lncRNA from 1 species